rnacentral:rRNA from 1 species
GUGCCAGCCGCCGCGGUAAUACGUAGGUGGCAAGCGUUGUCCGGAUUUAUUGGGCGUAAAGCGAGCGCAGGCGGUUUCUUAAGUCUGAUGUGAAAGCCUUCGGCUCAACCGAAGAAGUGCAUCGGAAACUGGGAAACUUGAGUGCAGAAGAGGACAGUGGAACUCCAUGUGUAGCGGUGAAAUGCGUAGAUAUAUGGAAGAACACCAGUGGCGAAGGCGGCUGUCUGGUCUGUAACUGACGCUGAGGCUCGAAAGCAUGGGUAGCAAACAGGAUUAGAUACCCUGGUAGUCCAUGCCGUAAACGAUGAGUGCUAGGUGUUGGAGGGUUUCCGCCCUUCAGUGCCGCAGCUAACGCAUUAAGCACUCCGCCUGGGGAGUACGACCGCAAGGUUGAAACUCAAAGGAAUUGACGGGGGCCCGCACAAGCGGUGGAGCAUGUGGUUUAAUUCGAAGCAACGCGAAGAACCUUACCAGGUCUUGACAUCCUUUGACCACUCUAGAGAUAGAGCUUUCCCUUCGGGGACAAAGUGACAGGUGGUGCAUGGUUGUCGUCAGCUCGUGUCGUGAGAUGUUGGGUUAAGUCCCGCAACGAGCGCAACCCUUAUUACUAGUUGCCAGCAUUUAGUUGGGCACUCUAGUGAGACUGCCGGUGACAAACCGGAGGAAGGUGGGGACGACGUCAAAUCAUCAUGCCCCUUAUGACCUGGGCUACACACGUGCUACAAUGGAUGGUACAACGAGUUGCGAGACCGCGAGGUUUAGCUAAUCUCUUAAAACCAUUCUCAGUUCGGAUUGUAGGCUGCAACUCGCCUACAUGAAGCCGGAAUCGCUAGUAAUCGCGGAUCAGCAUGCCGCGGUGAAUACGUUCCCGGGCCUUGUACACACCGCCCGU